GAAAGAUUCAAAGCAAUUACAAGGGCACAGUCUGGGUGGACUAGGCUGUUCUAGAGAGAAAGUCUGGGUGUGUCUCCCCUACGGCAAACAGCAGCAACCUGGGAAGCCAAGAAUUGCAACAGGUUCCCCCUGACAUCUGGUGAUGGAUCAGUCCUGGACAGUAUAAAAGGGAACUUCCUCCACUGGAGUUCUAUAUCGCUCCUUCUCUUCUGGGAUUCCUCUCCAGGCUCUUUCUGAUUUGUUUCCAAACCAAAGAUGGUUGCUACCAAGUUAGAAAAUGCCAUUAAUGAAGUGAUGGACACUUUUCACAAGCACAGCAAAAAGUCAAAGGACUGGGACCAACUGAAUCUCCAGGAGAUGACUGAGAUCAUUAAGGAAGACUAUCCUACUUUCCUUUCAGCCUGUGGCUCGAACAAUCCAGAUGGUUUCAUAAGAGACCUUUUUGACAAAUCUAAGGGUGAAAAUGGAGAAGUCAGCUUUAACAAUUAUAUGAAAAUCGUGGGCAAAAUGGCAAUCAUCUACCAUAAGCGGAGCCAUGGUGAUAUGACCUGUGAUGACCGAAGAUGAACACCACUGAAUCAUGUUGAUGAGAUCCAUGGAUAGAAGGGAUGAAUCUGACCCAUCCUAGCACAGAGAUGAAGUUGAACCAAUAAAACAUCUCCUUUACCUUAUAUUAUGGCUCUU
ensembl:lncRNA